AUUGAACGCUGGCGGCAUGCCUUACACAUGCAAGUCGAACGGCAGCACGGGGGCAACCCUGGUGGCGAGUGGCGAACGGGUGAGUAACAUAUCGGAACGUGCCCUGGAGUGGGGGAUAACUAGUCGAAAGACUAGCUAAUACCGCAUACGAUCUACGGAUGAAAGUGGGGGACCGCAAGGCCUCAUGCUCGUGGAGCGGCCGAUAUCUGAUUAGCUAGUUGGUGGGGUAAAGGCCUACCAAGGCAUCGAUCAGUAGCUGGUCUGAGAGGACGACCAGCCACACUGGGACUGAGACACGGCCCAGACUCCUACGGGAGGCAGCAGUGGGGAAUUUUGCUCAAUGGGCGCAAGCCUGAAGCAGCGACGCCGCGUGGGCGAUGAAGGUUUUCGGAUCGUAAAGCCCUCUUCUCUGGGACGAGACAGGACGG
rnacentral:rRNA from 1 species